rnacentral:rRNA from 1 species
UAGGGAAUCUUCCACAAUGGACGCAAGUCUGAUGGAGCAACGCCGCGUGAGUGAAGAAGGUUUUCGGACCGUAAAGCUCUGUUGUUGGUGAAGAAGGAUAGAGGUAGUAACUGGCCUUUAUUUGACGGUAAUCAACCAGAAAGUCACGGCUAACUACGUGCCAGCAGCCGCGGUAAUACGUAGGUGGCAAGCGUUGUCCGGAUUUAUUGGGCGUAAAGCGAGCGCAGGCGGAAGAAUAAGUCUGAUGUGAAAGCCCUCGGCUUAACCGAGGAACUGCAUCGGAAACUGUUUUUCUUGGGUGCAGAAGAGGAGAGUGGAAUUCCAUGUGUAGCGGUGGAAUGCGUAGAUAUAUGGAAGAACACCAGUGGCGAAGGCGACUCUCUGGUCUGCAACUGACGCUGAGGCUCGAAAGCAUGGGUAGCGAACAGG